CAGCAGCCGCGGGAAUACGUAGGGUGCAAGCGUUAAUCGGAAUUACUGGGCGUAAAGCGUGCGCAGGCGGUUCUAUAAGACAGAUGUGAAAUCCCCGGGCUCAACCUGGGAACUGCAUUUGUGACUGUAGAGCUGGAGUACGGCAGAGGGGGAUGGAAUUCCGCGUGUAGCAGUGAAAUGCGUAGAUAUGCGGAGGAACACCGAUGGCGAAGGCAAUCCCCUGGGCCUGUACUGACGCUCAUGCACGAAAGCGUGGGGAGCAAACAGGAUUAGAUACCCCAGUAGUCCCUGUCUCUUAUAC
rnacentral:rRNA from 1 species